CUGCUGAGCCUGGUGUAUGUCCAGCGGGCACACUGGCGCUGCUUCCAGUACCAGGGGUCCUUAUGCCAGCAGGAGGUGCGGGGUGAGGCUGACCCCAGCACCUUCACCCCGAGCCUCUCCUUCCAAGGCCUGGUGGGUGUCUGGCCCUUACGCCUCCAGACCAGAGACACCAUGCAGCUCCUGACACCACAGACCAGCAGCUCAGGGAGAGGAUUGGUGAGAAACUGCUGCAGCUGAGGAGGGAAGGUAUGUAGGGAGGAAGGGGAGGGGGAGAAAGAGGGAGAGGGAGAGGGAAGGAAGAGGAGAAAGGAAAAAAUGGAAGAGAGGGAGGGAAGGAAAGGAAAGGGAAGGCACCUGCACUGGCUAACACCUGUAUAGCCACCCAUAGUAAUGCACAGAGGGUAUGCAGCUCUCUCUAUUCCUUGGACCUGCUUUAUAAACAUGAUGCAGUGUCAGCCAGUAGGAUCAGUUGGGUUGAGUUGAGGCAAAGAAGUUGUUCUCAUUGUUGGAAUUAGGAUUGAGGAAGGAGAGUUGGAAGAGGAAGAAAGAUUCUGGAUAAAGGAAGGAGAGAUGGGAGAGAGGAAAUGAGAAAUAGAGAGAUAUACAGAUGAUGCCGAAGAGAUAUUAAUAAAGAAAGAGUCUAAUCUUAAUCUAACCCUUUUCUCCCUCCCUCUCUCCAUCCUUGCACAGCCUCCAGGCCCAGCGUGAAGAGGUGGAGCUCACACACAGCCAGGAACACGUGGCCUUCAUGUUCAGCUUUCAGGUCCAGGGAGAGGAGGUGGAGCUCACACACAGCCAGGAACAUGUGGCCUUCAUGUUCAGCUUUCAGGUCCAGGGAGAGGAGGUGGAGCUCACACACAGCCAGGAACAUGUGGCCUUCAUGUUCAGCCUCCAGGCCCAGGGGGAGGAGGAGCUGCAGACCAUUCAGGAGAACUACAAGUCUGUCUACCUCCACCCCGCCACCAAUGUCUGUGCUCUGCUCUCGGCCGGCUCACUGCUGCAGGUCGUGGACGAGGUGUUUGCAGGCCGAGCCAGGGCCGGCGUGGGCAUCAUCCGUCCCCCGGCCACCACGCCGAGCCGGACCGCCCCCACGGCCUCUGCUUCUACAACAACGUGGCCGUCGCCGCCAACAGGCUGGGAUGCCAAGGGUGCUGGUGGUGGACCAGGAUGUGCACCUCGGCAGCGGCAUCCAGCAUUUGUUUGUGGCCGAGCCGAGGGUGCUGUACGUGUCCCUCCACUGCCACCACCACGGCCUCUUCUUGCCAUCCUCUGAGGACCCAAACUACGACGAGUGGGGACGGGACCUGGCCAAGGCUACAACAUUAACAUUUGCUGCAACAAGAGUGGCAUGGGUGACGCAGAGGCUUUCACUCAGGUGGUGCUGCCCGUGGCCUACCAGUUCAACCCACAGCUGGUCCUGGUCACUGCCAGCCUUGAUGUUGGUGCGGGGACCCACUUUGAGGUUGCUGCGUGAGUCCCGAUUGCUUUGAACAUAUGAUGGCCCUUCUGUCUGGCCUGGCCGAGGGCCACAUGGUUCUGGCACUGGAGGGCAGCUUCAACCUCACCACCAUCAGCUGCUGCAUGACGCUGUGUGCCAAGGCCUUGCUGGGGGAUCCGGUGCCCCCCCCUUGAGCCCCAGCUGGUGCCCAACAAGAGUGCCGUGCAGACCAUCAAUGACGUCAUCCGUACCCACAGCCGCUUCUGGCCGGCACUCUGC